CGCAAUGGGCGCAAGCCUGACGGAGCGACGCCGCGUGAUUGAUGAAGUCCUUCGGGAUGUAAAAAUCUUUUAUGAGAUAGAAAGUCUAUUGAUCGUCUCAUGAAUAAGAGGUUGCUAAACUCGUGCCAGCAGCAGCGGUAAUACGAGUGCCUCGAGCGUUAUCCGGAAUUAUUGGGCGUAAAGGGUGUGUAGGCGGCUUUGUUAGUCUUUUGUUAAACCCCCGGGCUCAACCCGGGAUCUGCAAAGGAAACGGCAUGGCUCGAGUGCGCGAGAGGUUUGCGGAACUCAUGGUGUAGGGGUGAAAUCCGUUGAUAUCAUGGGGAACACCAAAUGCGAAGGCAGCAAACUGGCGCGUCACUGACGCUGAAACACGAAAGCGU
rnacentral:rRNA from 1 species